GGUAGGUAGGUUGCGGGAGAGAGAGUGCAGUAGGUAGGUAGGUUGCGGGAGAGAGCGGUAGGUAGAUAGGUUGGGAGAGAGAGCGGUAGGUAAGUAGGUUGCUGGAGAGAGAGCGGUAGGUAGUUAGGUAGUUGGAGAAAGAGAGAGGUAGGUAGGUUGCUAGAGAAAGAGAGAGAGGGGUGGGUAGGUAGGUAGCUGGAGAAAGAGAGAGAGAGAGAGGUAGGUAUUUAGGUUGCUGGAGAGAGAGAGAGGUAGGUAGGUAGAUUGCUGGAGAGAGAGGUAGGUAGGUAAGUUGCUGGAGAGAGAGCGGUAGGUAGGUAGGUUGCGGGAGAGAGUGGUAGGUAGGUAGGUUGCUGGAGAGAGAGCGGUAGGUAGGUAGGUUGUUUGAGAGAGAGAGGUAGGUAUGUAGGUAGCUGGAGAAAGAGAGAGAGGUAGGUAGAUAGCUGGAGAGAGUACGGUAGGUAAGUAGGUUGCUGGAGAGAGCGGUAGGUAGGUUGCUGGAGAGAGAGAGAGGUAGGUUAGGUUGUUGGAGAAAGAGAGAGGUAGUUAGGUAGGUUGCUGGAGAAAGAGAGAGAGAGGUAGGUAGGUUGCUGUAGAGAGAGCGGUAGGUAAGUAGGUUGUGGGAGAGAGAGCGGUAGG
ensembl:lncRNA